rnacentral:rRNA from 1 species
ACGGGAGGCAGCAGUGAGGAAUAUUGGUCAAUGGGCGGAAGCCUGAACCAGCCAAGUCGCGUGAAGGAUGAAGGUAUUAUGUAUUGUAAACUUCUUUAGCAGUGGAGUAAUAAGGGAGUCGUGACUCCUGAUGCAAGUACACUGAAAAUAAGGAUCGGCUAACUCCGUGCCAGCAGCCGCGGUAAUACGGAGGAUCCGAGCGUUAUCCGGAUUUAUUGGGUUUAAAGGGAGCGUAGGCGGUGGAUCAAGUCAGCUGUGAAAUGUAGAUGCUCAACGUCUGCACUGCAGUUGAAACUGGUUCACUUGAGUGCGUAAGAGGUAGGCGGAAUUUAUGGUGUAGCGGUGAAAUGCUUAGAUAUCAUAAAGAACUCCGAUUGCGAAGGCAGCUUACUGGGCCGCAACUGACGCUGAAGCUCGAAGGUGCGGGUAUCGAACAGGAUUAGAUACCCUGGUA